AUGUCCCUAUUUGAGGAGUUCUAUGUGGGCGCCAUCAAACUAUCCUGUCUCAAUUAUGGGCUCAUCACCCUCAUCACCAAGGUGGCGGGGGCCUCCGACAUCCGCCAGUUCCGACCUAUCACUGUGAUCAACGUGAUCUUCUGUAUUCUGGCGAAGGGGUAUGCCAAUAGAGUGACCCUUCUUGCUGACCGUAUCACCCAUCCUAAUCAAUCGGCCUUCAUCCACGGCUGAUUUAUUUUGGAUGGCAUCCUAGUCUUCCAUGAGGUCCUUCACGAGGUGCGCACUAGGCGACAGCAUGCGGUCUUCUUGAGGAUCGACUCUCACAAGGCCUACGACACCUUAUCCUGGGCCUUCUUGCGUGAAGUUCUUCUCUGCAAAGGCUUUGAUGACCUGUGGAUCACCCGUGUUACUCAGAUGGUCUCAUCUGGUUGGACCGCAGUUAACAUCAACGGGGAGGCUGGCCCCUACUUCCCCACGCUCUGUGGGGUUAGGCAGGGAGACCCCUUCUUCCCCUUCUUGUUCAACAUGGUGGCCGACGCCCUUGCCACCAUCCUAGAUAAGGCUAAGGUGGUGGGUCAUAUUCACGGGGUGGUCCCCCAUUUAGCGGGAGGGGGGAGGGGUCUCCCUCCUACAAUAUGCCGAUGA
rnacentral:rRNA from 1 species